UCAGCAGCCGCGGUAAAACGUAGGAGGCAAGCGUUAUCCGGAUUUACUGGGCGUAAAGCGCGUGCAGGCGGUCGCAUAAGUGGGAUGUGAAAGCUCCCGGCUCAACUGGGAGAGGUCGUUCCAGACUGUGCGACUAGAGGAUGGUAGAGGGAGGUGGAAUUCCGGGUGUAGUGGUGAAAUGCGUAGAUAUCCGGAGGAACACCAGUGGCGAAAGCGGCCUCCUGGACCAUAUCUGACGCUCAGACGCGAAAGCUAGGGUAGCAAACGGGAUUAGAGACCCCGGUAGUCCUAGCUGUAAACGAUGUAGACUUGGCGUCGGUGGGUUUAAAUCCAUCGGUGCCGGAGCCAACGCGAUAAGUCUACCGCCUGGGGACUACGGCCGCAAGGUUAAAACUUAAAGGAAUUGGCGGGGGAU
rnacentral:rRNA from 1 species